AAAAUACACAAUUAAAUCCUUGUUUUUUUAAAAGAAAAUAAUAAUUACAAGAUGCAUACUUGACCAUUGAGCUAUUAGUCUAAUGGCAAAGUUAUACCUGGUCAACUGCACUGAUUUGUGCCCCCCUCAUCCUGAGCAUAUAGUAGAUGGACACCACACAUACUGACCACGCGCAAGGUACUAGAGUGCCCUACUUCUUUCUUUGAGUAGAAAGUAAAUGUAGCUUCACUAUAAUAAUACGAUUUCUCUUGUUCUUUUUCCUCAAUUGCUCUCAGAUAUAAGCUGAAAUCAUAUCCCAGGAACACAUGAUUUGAUCUAAUAAAACAGGAUCCAAGUUCAUCCGGCAUGUUAGCCAAACCUCGCAAAAUGCAACUCACAACAUGGUGAUCGCCAUGGUUGGUCAUCAAAUUGCAUUCACAUGGAACAUAAAUGCCACUAUCUGCAGAGUCUCUACAGUCAAUAACAGCACAUACAGCAAAACCUAAGAACUUGGGAUUAAGCCAAUUUGACGAUAGCUUGAUAGGGAUAUAAGAACCUUUUUUCCGAUAUCCAAACCACUUUGGAAUUUCAUUUCCAGGGAAACUAAAACAAAUAGAUGAUAGUGAACGAAGCCCCUGAUCAUAAUCUUUUACAGCUGCAGCUGCUGUGUGCUGAAUCCUCCACUGUGAAUCAACUUCAAUGAUGCGUUGUGAAUUCUGAUUCAAUCUUGGACAGUUAGUAAAGCAAUACCUCUGAUCAUUUGGACAUUUUGGGCUAAAUAAAGUUGCUGAAGAUGAUAUUGUUUCAAGUGAAAUGCAACCACUGGCAUUUAAGAGCCUAAGAUAUGGUGGAAGUUCUGGUAAGGAUGUCAGUCCAUUGCAACCACUAAUGUCUAGCUUUUGUAGUUGAGAAAGUUUUCUGAUAGUGACAGGUAUGCUUUCCAGCUUUAAGCAACCAGAAAUCAAAAGGCUAUUUAGAGAUUUCAUAGCACAAAUAUUGCUUGGAAGGCUCCUAAGAAGUUUACAGUUACGCAGACUCCAAAAGUCAAGUUCAGAAAGAUGCUCAAUAGACGCAGGCAAUUCUUCUAUGGCUGUUCCAUCCAGACUUAACUCUUCUACACUCCUUGAGAUCACCAUUAAGUUCUUCAAUUUUGAGCAUCCAGAGAGAUUGAGUUUGUGAAGUGAUUGGAGAUAAAUGCAGCUUGGAAUACUACUUAGCUCUCUGCAAUUUUCCAGAUUCAGGACAGUAAGCUUCUUGAAACAUUUAAUGGAUGAUGGCACCUGAAGUAAACUUAUGCAGCCUUCAAGAUUGAUACAUUCAAGAUUUAGGGCUUGUGAUAGGUCUGGUAAUCCGAUAAGGUGUCGUGAGUGCCUGAGGUCGUGUUCAACUUCUCAAGAUUCUGGUUUCCCUCCCACAGCAAUUCAACAUGGCUAUAAGGCAUUCUAAGUUCAACAAGGUUCUCAGCACGGAAAUUCAAUGGCAGAGACCUUAAGGGGCAUGCAUCCCACCGGAGAUAGCUUAACUUAUCUGACAAAAAUUCAAGACUUUGUCGAAGGUACACUUGGCUAUUCACCCAAUAGUAAGGGCAAGAAAUAUAAAAUUUGAGCAACCUCAAGUUGUGAAUCCUUGCAAAGGCUUCAGGAUCUAAAAAUGUGUCUUCCAUUUUAUACAUGUCAAGGAAUAUACACCUUCAAUUGUUUCAGUUCCCUAAUAAUCAACGCAAUCAAAUCAUAAAAGAGUGGGACAUAAAAGUAUAGAACAUCUUAAGGAGAAUUAACUUGGGAAUUCAUUGUUUUUCACUCAUAAAGAGGAAAUUUAAUGCAUUUCAAUCUUACCGUAUUUCUCGUCAACACAUGAAAAACAUCUUCAGAAGUCCAUAACCUGCUGCGCUUUCCAGGCUCUUUAAUAGAUUCUUGUCGGACAAUUUCCCAACCCAUUCGUUGUAGUAGAUUAUGCAUCUCCAACUUAUUGUUAGAAAUUGUUACAAGAGACUUAUCAAUAAGAACACUUGUUACAAUGUCGAAAGAAAAGCCGCAGCCAUUUAGUAUUCUUUCCACAAAAUCCUUAUCCUCCCCCUAGAAGAAACAUGCAAUAUCAAGAAAAAUGUCUUUCUCUUCGACAUCCAAUCCAUCAUAACUUAUUCUUAAUAUAUUUUGAAUCUCCAUGUUGGGAUUUCUUUCUAGUUUAUGCAAUGCACUUUUCCAUCUCCCAUACUUCUACGGUGUAGAAAAGAACCCAGAACUUACAGAGCGAGUGGAUUACCAUUAGCAUAACUUAUUACUGUUUCUGAUAGCUUUAGAUGGUCUUGUCUUGGUUGGUCUUGUUUAAAUGCAUUCAAACUAAAAAGCUGAAGUGCUUCAUGGUAAUUUAAUCCUUCAACUUCAUAGAUUUCACUACUCUUAAGAAAGUCCUUAUCUCUAGUUGUUAUAAUGAUUCUACUUCCUGGUCCAAACCAUUCAUGCUCUCCUGCUAAAAAUUCUAUUUGUCUGAAAUUAUUCACAUCAUCAAGAACAACAAGAACCUUUGUUCGAUGAAGUCUCCUCUCAAUAAAACUGGCUCUAAUAUCAUAUGCAUCUAUGUUGAGACUUUCUUCUCCUAAUAAUUUAGAGAAAAGUUCCCUUCGUAGCCGAUACAGUCCAUACUUUUCUGAUUCUUCCCUAACAUUAGCCAGAAAGCAGCAACCAUCAAAUUGUGCAGAGAUUUUAUCAAACACAAUCCCAGCAAUGGUUGUUUUACCAAUACCACCCAUUCCCCAAAUCCCUAAAACACGAAUAUCCAUAGAUCCAAUGCUUAACAAUGAUUCGAUUCUCUGAAUGCGUGAACAAAUUCCAACCAAACCCUUAUAAUUACAAGAUGACAUAUGAUUCAAUUUCUUCAAAAUA
rnacentral:misc_RNA from 1 species